rnacentral:rRNA from 1 species
UGGGGAAUAUUGCGCAAUGGGGGAAACCCUGACGCAGCAACGCCGCGUGAAGGAAGAAGGCCUUCGGGUUGUAAACUUUUGUCCUAUGGGAAGAAUUGAUGACGGUACCAUAGGAGGAAGCCACGGCUAACUACGUGCCAGCAGCCGCGGUAAUACGUAGGUGGCGAGCGUUGUCCGGAUUUACUGGGUGUAAAGGGCGCGUAGGCGGGCGCUUAAGUCAGAUGUGAAAUACCGGAGCUUAACUCCGGGGCUGCAUUUGAAACUGGGCGUCUUGAGUGCGGGAGAGGUAAGUGGAAUUCCUAGUGUAGCGGUGAAAUGCGUAGAUAUUAGGAGGAACACCAGUGGCGAAGGCGACUUACUGGACCGUAACUGACGCUGAGGCGCGAAAGCGUGGGGAGCAAACAGGAUUAGAUACC